GAUGAACGCUGGCGGCGUGCCUAAUACAUGCAAGUCGAGCGAACGGACGAGAAGCUUGCUUCUCUGAUGUUAGCGGCGGACGGGGGAGUAACACGUGGAUAACCUACCUAUAAGACUGGGAUAACUUCGGGAAACCGGAGCUAAUACCGGAUAAUAUUUUGAACCGCAUGGUUCAAAAGUGAAAGACGGUCUUGCUGUCACUUAUAGAUGGAUCCGCGCUGCAUUAGCUAGUUGGUAAGGUAACGGCUUACCAAGGCAACGAUGCAUAGCCGACCUGAGAGGGUGAUCGGCCACACUGGAACUGAGACACGGUCCAGACUCCUACGGGAGGCAGCAGUAGGGAAUCUUCCGCAAUGGGCGAAAGCCUGACGGAGCAACGCCGCGUGAGUGAUGAAGGUCUUCGGAUCGUAAAGCUCUGUUAUUAGGGAAGAACAUAUGUGUAAGUAACUGUGCACAUCUUGACGGUACCUAAUCAGAAAGCCACGGCUAACUCCGUG
rnacentral:rRNA from 1 species